CGAACGGGUGAGUAACACGUAAAGAACCUGCCUCAUAGACUGGGACAACUAUUGGAAACGAUAGCUUAAUACUGGAUAACAGCAUUAACUGCAUGGUUGAUGUUUGAAAGUUGGUUAUGCUAACACUAUGAGAUGGCUUUGCGGUGCAUUAGCUAGUUGGUGGGGUAAAGGCCCACCAAGGCGACGAUGCAUAGCCGACCUGAGAGGGUGAUCGGCCACACUGGGACUGAGACACGGCCCAGACUCCUACGGGAGGCAGCAGUAGGGAAUCUUCCGCAAUGGGCGAAAGCCUGACGGAGCAACGCCGCGUGAGUGAAGAAGGAUUUCGGUUCGUAAAGCUCUGUUGUUAGGGAAGAAUGGAUAUGUAGUAACUAUACAUGUACGAGACG
rnacentral:rRNA from 1 species